rnacentral:lncRNA from 1 species
AGUAGCGCUUUUUUUUCUUCUUCAUAAAAUACUCCUAACAAAAACACUUAUGAAUCUUAAAUCAUUUUAGAUCGACAUUCUAAUUUAUAAAUCUUCGUCUCAUCUCUCCUAUGAGUUUGGUAAAAAGUAUGUGACCGUAUUUUUUGAAUUCCUAAUAUUUCAAAUAGUUAUUAUGUGAUUUUUUUUUCUUAAUGAACUAAAUAAAGGAGGCAAACACAGGGUGACCCAGUGGUUAGAGACGAAUUCUAGGCUCGUAUUCCACACAGUACGUCUUAGGUUCGAUUUCUGAUGCUGGUAAAUUACACGAUGGUGGUCAAAGAGAGGCUAAAAUGCCUCUGUGCAUCUUUCUAACCUUUGAAAAGUAGACUAACGAAACCAUUAGCUAAUCUCUUUAAAAUAAAAAAUAAAAAUAAAAACUAAAUAAAGGUGACAAGAUUUAGGUUUUUGUAUAUUUAUAUUGGCAAGAAUAAAUAAACUCCUCUAAGCCAAAUUAACCCUUGGGCUUUUGUCACGUAUCGUUGAGACGUUAUUUCAAAACAUCUGCAUGGCAGGUCAAUUAAAGCUUGGGCUGGCGGAUGGAAUUCAAUUCACUGAAAAUUGGUGGAGGCCCGAAUCAGUACGGGCUUGUGCAAGGCAUGUGCCCCUCUAGUUGUCAAAUUGGACCUAGGGUGUGCCCAUUUUUUGAGUCAUUGAUGAUCAAUGAGAUGUCAAAUCGGAAAUAUUUGUGAUUUGCCCCAUCAUCAAAUCAAAAGUUGAUUAUUGUAAGACCAUGAUUUUCCAAGACCGGAGUAAAGAGGAUCGGAAUACACGUACUUUAGAAGUUUGUCAUGAACUCGACAGCCUUAUUAUAGAGCUGACUAAGCAGAUUAGCAAUCCUGCCAUCAUCCUAUUCCAAAAUUAGUGGGGCGAAGUCCACCGACUUCGCUGAGAUAGAACAUGCUUGUUUCGCAAUAUUCGGGAACCUAAUCCAACAAGGAAUCAACAAGCUUUCUAUAAUCUUAGAGUCUUUAUAAUUGGCAUGCGCAGCAAGUAAUCACUCUUAAGAGAAUACAAUAUCUACUUCCUAGAUAUCUUGUGAGAUUUCUUGGUUUAAUAAGGAUUUUACUAUCCUAGAAAGCCAUCUCCUCGAAUGGUGUAAAUACACCUUUUUAGGAUUCAUCUAUGGUAGUUCAAUCUUUGCAUACUUAUUUCUUGCCUACUGCUUGAGUCUUAAUAUUACUUACUAACUUGACCGUCGAAGGGCAUUUGACCGACACACCCCGAUCCUUGGAUGUUUGUUCUUUUACAGGUUAACAAGUUUGGGCAUCUCCACCACACACAGCGGUGCACAAAUUUAUAUCCAACAUCUAUCAUUUUUAUCCAAAUCUGAACCGAUCCACAUUAGCCAUCUAGGCAAUUUUGGAGACAAUGAUAUUUAGGCGUGUUUGCUAACACAUUUUAAUACAGAUGAGUCUUACAUACAUUAGUAGAUUUUACUUUUAUUAAAAAACAUAUUAAUAAAUGUGUCAAUUUUAUAUGUACAAAUCUUAUUAUUGAGUGUUGGGAUGUCUUUUAAAUAUAGGAGCCUUCAUCGUAUGGUUGGUGAGCAAGGGGGAUUGGAGUGGAUUUUCCUUUCCACUACUAUCCCGACCUUUUUAUGAUAAACCAAAAAACACCCUUUUGAAAAGCUGUAUCACAAAACUCUACCUACACACUUUUGAAUAAGGACAUUUUAGUAAUCAACAUGAGUGUCUCACUCCCACUCAAGCAUACUCCUCUCGUUACUAAACAGCUGAGUAGGAAUUGCAUCACUCCCACCCCUGCUCACUCACUCAAAGUACGUAAACAUGCGUCAAAGUUAUUGGCUAAACAUUUGUUACUACUACUCCAUACGUGCAAAUUAAAGUGUUAAGGACUCUGUUAAAAAUGGUCAUAGCCACAUAAAACUAUUAAUAAACGAGAAUAAAAGUUAUAUCUUAUAUAACCGUAUCUACAAAAAUAGUUAAUUUAUGUGAGUUCAAACUAUAAAUCAUAAAACCUAUACAACACGACACAAAACCACAUCUAUUCUGAUUCGAAUGGAAUGAGCCUCAAUCCUCAAUCCUCAUCAACAUCAACUCUAACACGUACGUAGUCUGUGGGUGGACACGUGAUACAAACCCCUUGGACUAGAGAAAAGGUGACGGAUCAAAGGAACGAUAUAAAUCAUAGGUCGGUGGGUGAACGACUGUUGUAUCAUAUAUAUUAUUAAUUUACUAGUACAAGUCUUCCUGGAGAAGAUAUCAAGAUAUCAUUUAAUUACCAUUAUAAUUAUUAAUUAAUGUUAACCCCAGGUUGGGGUUGGCUGCUUGAAGAAAUCAUAAAUUAAUUAAUUAAUGUUAAUGAGGAGGAAAAGUGUGGUCAGCGUGAUGGUGAAAUGGUUGGGACUAAUCUUUGACCGUUUAAGGUGAGUGGUGUGUUGUGUUGGGGUUCGGAGGCACUGCCACCUGUUUGGGAUGGAUUUUAUUUUUUAAAACAAUAACGCGGACAGCUGGCUCGUCCUUCUUAAAAACGCGGUUUACAUUUUAUUUUAUUUAUAAAAAAAUGAUAUUAUUUGCUCCUUAAUAUUAAGUAUUCUUUUUUUAUUUGUAAGAAAUAUAUGUUAUGUUUGAUUUUCGUCAAAUACAAAUUUGAAUUAUAUUAUUACUAGUCUAUUAUAAGGCUUAGCUUACUCUCGACCUCCAAUUAAUAUAAAUAAUAUAUCACGUAUCACGUGUAUAUAUGGGUAUUGGAGGCUUUUGCGGGAUGAUAUUUCUAUUUUUUUAAAAUGGGGAUUAGUUGUAAGGUUCACACAUCGAAUUUCAACGAUCUGAACCGUCUACUUUUUAAGUUGCACUUCAUAGAUUAUCAUCCCAAAAUAGUAGCAAACAAAUAUUAGCCAAAUCGGAAAUAUUUGAGACAUCUGAUUUAGUUCAAAGCAAUUGACGAACGCUUUGUUCUAUAAGAAACAAUAAAAAUUCAUCGUGAUAAUUAAAUAAGCAAAUAGUUUUGAAUUGAAUUGAAUUAUUUCAAAGGUGAUCUAUGAAUUGAGACU